UGAUCCGUAAAAUCUACGAAUACUUUUCUUAUCCUCUAUGAUUAGUGUUCUUAAAGCUUGUGCAAUAUGCAUAUACUCAUUAUAUGUACAUGUAUUUUCCUCCCAAUAGUUUUUUGCUGCAUAUGAAAAAUCCAUGAUAUAAGAUCGAUGUGUAAUGUAUAAUCACUCGCCAUGACGUUUAAAAAUCUAGUUUUUUGCUCCCCUCAAUUGCAUGCAGGAUGUUUAGUUUACAUAUAUUUAUUCCUGUAAACGAAGGCAACGUAUUACCCAUCCUGGUAUUAAAUCUUAUAAUGCAUAAUGUUUGCACAUUAUUUUAAUAAAUGAAGAAAAU
rnacentral:misc_RNA from 1 species